ensembl:lncRNA
ACGUUUUCGUAACAUUUUUAAAAUGGUAGGAUGGAAUGUUUCUGUAAUGUUCGCAGAAACCCCACAAAAAAUGUUCUCAAUACAUUAAAAAAACUUGCCGUUCUCAACGUGUACAAAACAUUCCGAAAUAACGUUUUCAUAACUUAAGGGAAAUGUUAGUAAAACGUUCUGACAACUCAUUUUUGUUAGCUGGGUCUACGCAUCAACAUCUUGUUUUUCACAACUGAGAGACUCUUAUAGAUGGGUCCUAUAAACCUCUCCCACCAUCAACUGCUGUGCAAGACCUCAGUGGCCAAAAUGUCAUAUAUGAGCAAGUGUGUUUGCUGCCCAUUACACAACCUGACAAAAUUUGUGAUUAUGACCCUCAAAACCUGGCUGUUGUAGCUGGAUGAUCUGUUGUACUCAUCUGUAUAAAUGGUCGCUAUGACGUCUUCCUGCCAGUGAUGAAUUGCAGACCAUGUCUUGCAUCAUGGACAGCUGAGGUGGUGGACAUGUUGUUUAGUGGUUACUGGCCAGGCACUGUCAAGUUUCAAACCAUAUACCAGGUAGACCUCUUUGCAUCGCUUGAGAUCACUGCACCUGGGCUUUCAAGACAAGCAUUUGUGAAAAUGUUACAACAGCGCUCACAACAAUUUGGAAGGGUACAUGGAAAAGGCAUCUGUGGAACAUGAGCAUGGGCUGCAGCCAGGGAGACCUCUAAAAAGACAAACACUAAAUGUGAUGAAGAGGGCCUAGAGGUGGCAGUUUGCAGGCACAGCAUAUU